rnacentral:rRNA from 1 species
GACGAACGCUGGCGGCGUGCUUAACACAUGCAAGUCGAACGGUCCUGUUUUUGAAGCGCUUCGGCGUGGAGGGGACGGGGCAGUGGCGCACGGGUGAGUAAUGCGCGAGGACCUGCCCGCAGGAGGGGGACAGCAGUUGGAAACGGCUGGUGAUACCCCGUAGGCCGGGAGGUGAAAGGGCGGAGACGCCCGCCUGCGGAUGGACUCGCGUCCUAUCAGCUAGUUGGUGAGGCAACGGCUCACCAAGGCGACGACGGGUAGCCGGCCUGAGAGGGUGUCCGGCCACACUGGAACUGAGACACGGUCCAGACUCCUACGGGAGGCAGCAGUGGGGAAUUUUGGGCAAUGGGGGAGACCCUGACCCAGCGACGCCGCGUGAGGGACGAAGGCCCUUGGGUCGUAAACCUCUUUUGCAGGGGAAGAAGAAGAUGACGGUACCUUGCGAACAAGUCCUGGCUAACUACGUG